CGGGGAUGNUAGUUUNUGAGAUUAAGCCAUGCAUGUUUUUGAAAGNCNAACGGCUCAGUGAUGCUGCGAUGAUCUGAUCUGUUUGUAGGGAAUAACCUCGGGAAACAGAGGCUAAUUGGGCAGAAUGAGACGCAGGCCUAUCAGCUUGUUGGUAGUGUAAAGGACUACCAAGGCGGCGACGGGUAACGGGAGACGGGAGUCUUAUACCGGAGAGGGCGCCUGAGAGAUGGCGCCUACGUCCAUGGACGGCAGCAGGCGCGGAAAUUGCCCACUCCUUUGUGGGGAGGCAGUUAGGAGACGUAGACAUUGAAGAGGAAUGGAUUAGGAUUGGAGGGCAAGGCUGGUGCCAGCAUCCGCGGUAA
rnacentral:rRNA from 1 species